rnacentral:snRNA from 1 species
UUAGCUCUCUUUGCCUAUUGGCUUAGAUCAAGUGUAGUAUCUGUUCUUUUCAGUUUAAUCUCUGAAAGGUCCCCACAAGGGACUGUUUAUUGAUUAUUCUUAUUUUUGGUCUCCGGAUGGUUUCCUCUGUGCUUGCACAUGAUUCUUUCCACAGUGUUCCUGGUAUUACACUGCCUCCAGGUAACGCGAACCGAA